CCUUAUCUCCUCGCUCACUCCCUCCUCUCUCUCCCACGCCGCCCCUUCCCUCUCCCCGCUCGUCUCCUCAUCUCCUCUUUCCUCGACGCCGGCUCCCCUGCUUGCCUCCCCGACCUGGGCCAGAGCCUCGCCGGUCGCUCCCCCCAGCCGGCGCCCACUAGCUGCUUGCGUGGAGGGGAGCUUCUCCGAUGGCGACGGCGACCACCAUCCAGGCCUCCUUGCUCACCUUGGAGAUGCAGAGGAGGAGGAGCCGCGCCUGCGGGAGCUCUCCACGGAGGAGGAGAUUUCGUGGCGGUGGUGCGGAGCGUACGGCAGUGGAGGGGCUGGAGAGACCGGGCCCACAUCGCUGAAGCAGUGGGCGUGGAGCAGGGGAGGAUGAGGGCGAUGGGCAUGAGGGAAGGAGCAGCGAGGUCGGAGUUCCAGGGGAUGCCGGCCGUCGUCACAUGUCCCCAGUAUCUGAGGAACAAAAAGAAGGGGAUGAAUCUUGAGGAAGAGCUUGGCUAAGAACAAGAUCUGAGGAACAAAAAUAAGGGGAUGAAUCUUGAGGAAGAGCUUGGAUAAGAACAAGGCAUCAGUGAAGAUUUGGGCAGUAGCUAGGGAGGGAUUGCUGGAGUGGAAACAUGGCAAGAACCGGAAAGAGCUCAAGAUUUUGCUACUACCUUGCUAAUAAAUUUGUGAGGUUGCUUUAUGGAAGUAUUUACAGGCUUGCCAUGACAAGGAAUGCAUCAAUAAUCUUGGUAUAAAAUUUAUUUGGAUGGUUCAGAACCUUCAGAUGGCAUGGCUGAGAUAUAGUUUGUUGUAUUCAGUUUUUUUUUCAUCGUCACAGGUUAUAUGAUUUGUACAUGGCGGUGUUACUGAACAGAAGGAGGUAAUUUCUUCGCUCUUUCUAUUGAUUAAUAUUGUUCUUCACUCUUUCUAAACUAUUGAAUUUAUUAAUAUUAUUCUUGCACAAAUUAAUUAAUGAUUAUAUCAUCUUUUGGUCACUCGAGUAAGAUAGAACAUGAUGAUCCUCUCUUAAUUUGGUUUCUCCUCCGCUGAAGAAUAUAGGAAUCACCAGCAGCCCUUCUCUAGUUCCGAGGAAGUGCUCAACCUAGACGUUGUUGGCCGAAGGAGGGGCGGAGCAGGUGCCAGUCAAGUAGGCGGCUCAAUGGGUGGGAGAUGGCAGCUGCCGAUCUCACACGGCUCAUGCGCCCCGCGACCCUCCCCUCCCCGGCUAAGUAGGAGGUUCGAGGGCAGCGACUAAGGAAGGAGCACAUCGGCGAUGAGGGCUAGCAAUAGCAAGACAAUUGCCAGGUGCAGUCGAUAUGCCGCCACGUCGGCCCUUCACGCGCGCCCGCCAGGGUCGGGACCUUUUUCAGAGCAAUGCGUAGUGUUUCCUUUAUUGUUGUUGUUUGUGAUGUCCUUGAUAUUCCUUUGCCAUAUGAUUUUUGAUCAUUUUCUCGCUCAUUCCUAGAGGAGCGCUAUGGAUAAUAUGAUUGAGAUGACUAAGAUACAUGCUUUUUGUUUACUUGGCAUCUCCUUCUCUUAAUUUUUCUACAACCCUUCCUUUACAUGCUGGUAUGUUUUGUUGCCAGGCUCAGAUCGGCGAGACCCGUGCCAAUGCACGAGGUACAAUAUUGGUUAAUUUUCCAUCUCCAAUCAGAUUAAUGGUUUGCAUGCAGACCAAGCCCAGUGUUUUAUGGUGUUCUUAUUCCUGAUUUAGUUGUACAUUUGACUUUUAGUUUCUUCAUAGAUAAUAAAGUAGUGGCAGAUGAACCAGUAAGUUAUCUGUGCCCAUUCUUUGCUAGUCCAUGGUAUCAUACGAUUUGAAGUUGAAAAAAUCAUGCUAUGGGUGAUACGGAAAAGUCAUUGCCUUCUUUGCUGGAACAUUUCCUAAGAUGAUCUAAGGUGAAGCAUUUAUGAAUAUCCUCGCUGAUCUAUGGAUCUAUCAUUGUAAGAGUCGAUAAUAUAUGGUGAGCUGCCUCACACCAUCAUUUGGUCUUUGUGGCAUUUGAGUUGGCAAAUUUGUUGGAUUCAUGCGAUUAGGCAUGCCAUGUAAAUCAAUCUGCAAUGGGAAAUGGGAGUUUGCAAACUACCGGAGUCUAAUUGCUGAGGGACGAGGUUCGUAACUGAGGGUCAUGUGCAGAGCUGGAGGAAGAAGUUGCGAGGCUUGGAACUCUCCUUGUGAAGGGCUCAGGGACAACAGUGAGGACAAUGCCUCUUUAGUUGUAGUUGUGAUACUCCUGAUGUGCAAGUAAACAUUCCUGUGAUACUGCUUAUGCUAAAAUGUUGGUUGUUAGUACAGAGGUGGUGACAUUAUUUGGUUCUCUGAUAUUGAUUUCAUGAUUUGUAAUAUAAUCCACAUUGCAUUAUCUUUCCAGUAA